AUAAAUUCCAACCAGUAACUCUCUUCUUUUCGAGCAAUUUACCCUUCAAGCGGUCGAGGAUCUGGCGAAAAGCAAGAGACAUGUACAUUGCAAUAUGAAGUCAAACGUUCCAAUUUCAUAGAAGUAACGACGAGAAAUAUGAAACCGAAUUAACUAUGUUCGCAAUAAUCAACCUUCGGAUUCCUUAUUUUUUCCACGGUUUCGAUGGAGAUCGAGUUAUGAAAGGUGAUCUGGAAACUUUUAAUGAUGUACUAGACGACACGUUUUAAUUAAUACGGAGCAACGAACCGUUGCGAUUAAAAGUUUGUUAA